UUAAGAGGCUUGAAGACUUUGUAU
rnacentral:piRNA from 1 species